GACGAACGCUGGCGGCGUGCUUAACACAUGCAAGUCGAACGGAAAGGCCCUGCUUUUGUGGGGUGCUCGAGUGGCGAACGGGUGAGUAACACGUGAGUAACCUGCCCUUGACUUUGGGAUAACUUCAGGAAACUGGGGCUAAUACCGGAUAGGAGCUCCUGCUGCAUGGUGGGGGUUGGAAAGUUUCGGCGGUUGGGGAUGGACUCGCGGCUUAUCAGCUUGUUGGUGGGGUAGUGGCUUACCAAGGCUUUGACGGGUAGCCGGCCUGAGAGGGUGACCGGCGACAUUGGGACUGAGAUACGGCCCAGACUCCUACGGGAGGCAGCAGUGGAGAAUAUUGCACAAUGGGCGGAAGCCUGAUGCAGCAACGCCGCGUGCGGGAUGACGGCCUUCGGGUUGUAAACCGCUUUCGCCUGUGACGAAGCGUGAGUGACGGUAAUGGGUAAAGAAGCACCGGCUAACUGCGUG
rnacentral:rRNA from 1 species